UACGAAGGUGGCUAGCGUUGUUCGGAAUUACUGGGCGUAAAGGGCGCGUAGGCGGUCUUGUAAGUCAGAUGUGAAAGCCCCGGGCUCAACCCGGGAAUAGCAUUUGAUACUGCGAGGCUUGAGUCCGGGAGAGGAUGGCGGAAUUCCCAGUGUAGAGGUGAAAUUCGUAGAUAUUGGGAAGAACACCGGUGGCGAAGGCGGCCAUCUGGACCGGUACUGACGCUGAGGCGCGAAAGCCAGGGGAGCAAACGGG
rnacentral:rRNA from 1 species